GUGGGGAAUCUUGGACAAUGGGCGAAAGCCUGAUCCAGCCAUGCCGCGUGGAUGAUGAAGGCCCUAGGGUUGUAAAAUCCUUUCGUUGGGGACGAUAAUGACGGUACCCAAAGAAGAAGCUCCGGCUAACUUCGUGCCAGCAGCCGCGGUAAUACGAAGGGGGCUAGCGUUGUUCGGAUUUACUGGGCGUAAAGCGCAUGUAGGCGGGUCGUUAAGUUGGGGGUGAAAUCCCGAGGCUCAACCUCGGAACUGCCUUCAAAACUGGCGACCUGGAGCAAGAUAGAGGCAAGUGGAAUUGCGAGUGUAGAGGUGAAAUUCGUAGAUAUUCGCAGGAACACCAGUGGCGAAGGCGACUUGCUGGAUCUUUGCUGACGCUGAGAUGCGAAAGCGUGGGGAGCAAACAGGAUUAGAAACCCGGGUAGUCC
rnacentral:rRNA from 1 species